rnacentral:rRNA from 1 species
AAAUCUGGUUGAUCCUGCCAGAGGCGACCGCUAUUGGAGUUCGAUUAAGCCAUGCGAGUCGAGAGGGUUCGGCCCUCGGCAUACUGCUCAGUAACACGUGGAUAACCUGCCCUAUGCUCGAGGAUAACCUCGGGAAACUGAGAAUAAUACUCGAUAGUCCACAACGCCUGGAACGGUGUGUGGAUCAAAGGUUACGGCAUAGGAUGGGUCUGCGGCGUAUCAGGUCGUAGGGGGUGUAAUGGACCUCCUAGCCAUUGACGCGUACGGGUUGUGGGAGCAAUAGCCCGGA